rnacentral:rRNA from 1 species
GACGAACGCUGGCGGCGUGCCUAAUACAUGCAAGUAGAACGCUGAAGGAGGAGCUUGCUUCUCUGGAUGAGUUGCGAACGGGUGAGUAACGCGUAGGUAACCUGCCUGGUAGCGGGGGAUAACUAUUGGAGACGAUAGCUAAUACCGCAUAAGAGUAGAUGUUGCAUGACAUUUGCUUAAAAGGUGCAAUUGCAUCACUACCAGAUGGACCUGCGUUGUAUUAGCUAGUUGGUGGGGUAACGGCUCACCAAGGCGACGAUACAUAGCCGACCUGAGAGGGUGAUCGGCCACCCUGGGACUGAGACACGGCCCAGACUCCUACGGGAGGCAGCAGUAGGGAAUAUUCGGCAAUGGACGGAAGUCUGACCGAGCAACGCCGCGUGAGUGAAGAAGGUUUUCGGAUCGUAAAGCUCUGUUGUAAGAGAAGAACGAGUGUGAGAGUGGAAAGUUCACACUGUGACGGUAUCUUACCAGAAAGGGACGGCUAACUACGUG